rnacentral:misc_RNA from 1 species
GAUGAAGAACGCAGCGAAAUGCGAUAAGUAAUGUGAAUUGCAGAAUUCAGUGAAUCAUCGAAUCUUUGAACGCACAUUGCGCCCGCCAGUAUUCUGGCGGGCAUGCCUGUCCGAGCGUCAUUUCAACCAUCAAGCCCCGGGCUUGUGUUGGGGACCUGCGUCCGACGCAGGCCCUGAAAACCAGUGGCGGGCUCGCUGUCCACACCGAGCGUAGUAACUAACCUCGCUAUGGAGUGGCGCGGGCGCCUGCCGUAAAACCCGCAAUUUUUACAAGGUUGACCUCGGAUCAGGUAGGAAUACCCGCUGAACUUAAGCAUAUCAAUAAGCGGAGGA